AAUGUCAUCUAGGUUUGAUUUUAAAAUGCAAUGCUUUUUUUAAAUCUUUCAGCUCCAGAACUUGCCAGUCAAGAUGAAAAACUUCUUCUAAUGGAAUCCAGCUUGAAAGGAACUCAAGAGCAGCUAAGUGAGCAAAUAACAGAAACAGUUCGCCAAGAACAGAACAGUAGAAAAUCACAGACAGAGCUGAAGACCCUGAGAGAACGUAUUAUAGCUUCUGAAGAAGGAAUUAGGGAUUACAAAGACAUGCUUAAAAAACUUCCAUUACAAUUAACAGCAUCAAAGACAGCUCAACAGCAAAAGCUUCAUGGAGCUCUCAACAGGCAGCAGUUAGAACCAGUAUCAGCCAUUGAACAAGUAAACAGUCUGAAACAACAGGUGAGUUUGCUUAUAUGUGAAAAAGCAAUUCUACAGCAAACAGAGUACGGUGUCAUAUCAUAAUUGCAUUUUUGGGCCUCAGUCUUGCAAACACUUAGGCAUGAAAGUAAUUCUGCAGAAGCCAAAGUAACUACUCAGGGAACAAAGCUACUUGUGUUCAUUUGCGGGACUGAGGCCUAAAAUUGCAUUAAUUAUAUAAUGUUCACGGUUGGUGAAGUGUAGCUAUAUGUGUGUGUUUUACUGAGCUAUAGGGAUUACGUUUGGAAUUGUGAUUUGAAAAUUAUUUGUAAUAAGUGAAGUUACCUGAUGUGAUUAGCUAGUUUUAAGGGCCAGUUGAAGACCGGCAUCUCAGUUAUUUUAGCUAUCUCACUAAGAAGAAACUGAAAGUCUGAUCAGUGUUAACUAAUUUGUACUUUUGUUAUUAUGGAUAUAAUAUGGAUUUUAAAUGAGAGAGUGGUUAUGUUAAACUAUAAUUAAAGAGUAAUAUGGCCAUGACCCAAUUAACUUUCUAAUCUUACUAGUAAAACUGUAGAACAGUAAAUCAGGAUUUUGGUUUACAGUAGGGCUGUCAAUUCAUCGCAGUUAACUCAUGCGAUUAACUAAAAAAAUUAAUCAUGAUUAAAAAAAUUAAU
rnacentral:lncRNA from 1 species